UGGGGAAUAUUGCACAAUGGAGGGAACUCUGAUGCAGCGACGCCGCGUGAACGAAGAAGGCUUUCGAGUCGUAAAGUUCUUUUAUAUGGGAAGAUAAUGACGGUACCAUAAGAAGAAGCCCCGGCUAACUACGUGCCAGCAGCCGCGGUAAUACGUAGGGGGCUAGCGUUGUCCGGAAUCACUGGGCGUAAAGGGUUCGCAGGCGGAAAUGCAAGUCAGGUGUAAAAGGCAGUAGCUUAACUACUGUAAGCAUUUGAAACUGCAUAUCUAGAGAAGAGUAGAGGUAAGUGGAAUUUUUAGUGUAGCGGUGAAAUGCGUAGAUAUUAAAAAGAAUACCAGUGGCGAAGGCGUCUUACUGGGCUCAUUCUGACGCUGAGGAACGAAAGCGUGGGUAGCAAACAGG
rnacentral:rRNA from 1 species